UACGAAGGGGGCUAGCGUUGUUCGGAAUUACUGGGCGUAAAGCGCGCGCAGGCGGUCUUCCAAGUCAGUGGUGAAAGCCCGGAGCUCAACUCCGGAAUUGCCAUUGAAACUGUUGGACUUGAGGAUGAGAGAGGUGAGUGGAAUUCCCAGUGUAGAGGUGAAAUUCGUAGAUAUCAGGAGGAACACCUGUGGCGAAAGCGGCUCACUGGACCAUAACUGACGCUGAUGCACGAAAGCUAGGGGAGCAAACAGG
rnacentral:rRNA from 1 species